rnacentral:rRNA from 1 species
UGAUUGAACGCUGGCGGCAGGCCUAACACAUGCAAGUCGAGCGGUAGAGAGGUGCUUGCAUCUCUUGAGAGCGGCGGACGGGUGAGUAAUGCCUAGGAAUCUGCCUAGUGGUGGGGGAUAACGUUCGGAACGGACGCUAAUACCGCAUACGUCCUACGGGAGAAAGGCGGGGGACCUUCGGGCCUCGCGCCAUUAGAUGAGCCUAGUCGAGUAGCUAGUUGGUGAGGUAAGUGGCUCACCAACGGACGACGAUCCGUAACUGGUCGUGAGAGGAGUG